rnacentral:rRNA from 1 species
CCUAAUACAUGCAAGUCGAACGCUUCUUUCCUCCCGAGUGCUUGCACUCAAUUGGAAAGAGGAGUGGCGGACGGGUGAGUAACACGUGGGUAACCUACCCAUCAGAGGGGGAUAACACUUGGAAACAGGUGCUAAUACCGCAUAACAGUUUAUGCCGCAUGGCAUAAGAGUGAAAGGCGCUUUCGGGUGUCGCUGAUGGAUGGACCCGCGGUGCAUUAGCUAGUUGGUGAGGUAACGGCUCACCAAGGCCACGAUGCAUAGCCGACCUGA